GGCCGCAGUAUAUUGACUGUGCAAAGGUAGCAUAAUCAUUAGUCUUUUAAUUGAAGGCUGGAAUAAAUGGUUGGACGAAAUAUUAACUGUUUCAUUAAUAUUUUUAUUAGAAUUUUAUUUUUUAGUAAAAAAGCUAAAAUAAAUUUAAAAGACGAGAAGACCCUAUAAAUCUUUAUAUUUGAUUUAUUUUAAUUUUUAGGAUUUAUUUUAUUAUAAUUUUUUUAUAAUAUUUUAUUGGGGUGAUAUUAAAAUUUAAUAAACUUUUAUUAAAAAAAACAUUAAUUUAUGAAUAAUUGAUCUAUUAUUAAUGAUUAAAAAAAUAAGUUACUUUAGGGAUAACAGCGUAAUUUUUUUGGAGAGUUCUUAUCAAUAAAAAAGAUUGCGACCUCGAUGUUGGAUU
rnacentral:rRNA from 1 species